rnacentral:lncRNA from 1 species
UUUGAUUUUUGAGAAUAGACUCUUAUGUCAUCACCUUAUGGUUUCUUACCUUUUUUUUGUUUUUUUGUGUGUGUUUUAUUUCCUAAAUAUUGUAUUUAAGUGGUCUUAAAGCAAAGACAAUUGUCUUUCAUCUUUCUGACAAAUCAUUGUCUAUAUAUGUGGAAACAUCCUUCAGUUUAUUUUAUUUUGUUUUCUACCUUUUUUAUUUUCAAGCUAUUUCCAAUCUAAGAUGGCCUCUAGAUUUAAUCUUGGUAUGAAAAAC